rnacentral:rRNA from 1 species
GACGAACGCUGGCGGCGUGCCUAAUACAUGCAAGUAGGACGCAGUUGCGAACGGGUGAGUAACGCGUAGGUAACUGCCUAUUAGAGGGGGAUAACUAUUGGAAACGAUAGCUAAUACCGCAUACUAGUAGAUGGAGCUGCUUUGUGUUUGCUAGUAGGUAGGGUAAAGGCCUACCUAGGCAACGAUACAUAGCCGAGCCGGGGAGGUGAUCGGCCAACUUGGGACUGGGACAGGCCCAAGCUCCCUACGGAAGCCACCGGAGGGGAUCAUCGGAAAUUGGGGGAACGCUGACCGCAGACCGCCGCGUUGUUGGAGGAGGUUUUUCGAGUUUAAAGCUCUGUUGUUACGGAAGCGGUACUGAAAGAAGAAGGGACGGCUAACUACGUGCCAGCAGCCGCGGUAAUUC